CGAUAGAGAAAGCUUGCUUUUUCUAGGCGUCGACCGGCGCACGGGUGAGUAACGCGUAUCCAACCUGCCCAUCACUUGGGGAUAACCUUGCGAAAGUAAGACUAAUACCCAAUGAUAUCUCUAGAAGACAUCUGAAGGAGAUUAAAGAUUCAUCGGUGAUGGAUGGGGAUGCGUCUGAUUAGCUUGUUGGCGGGGUAACGGCCCACCAAGGCGACGAUUAGUAGGGGUUCUGAGAGGAAGGUCCCCCACAUUGGAACUGAGACACGGUCCAAACUCCUACGGGAGGCAGCAGUGAGGAAUAUUGGUCAAUGGACGAGAGUCUGAACCAGCCAAGUAGCGUGCAGGAUGACGGCCCUAUGGGUUGUAAACUGCUUUUAUAAGGGAAUAAAGUGGGAGUCGUGACUCCUUUUGCAUGUACCUUAUGAAUAAGGACCGGCUAAUUCCGUGCCAGCAGCCGCGGUAAUACGGAAGGUCCGGGCGUUAUCCGGAUUUAUUGGGUUUAAAGGGAGCGUAGGCCGGAGAUUAAGCGUGUUGUGAAAUGUAGAUGCUCAACAUCUGCACUGCAGCGCGAACUGGUUUCCUUGAGUACGCACAAAGUGGGCGGAAUUCGUGGUGUAGCGGUGAAAUGCUUAGAUAUCACGAAGAACUCCGAUUGCGAAGGCAGCUCACUGGAGCGCAACUGACGCUGAAGCUCGAAAGUGCGGGUAUCGAACAGGAUUAGAUACCCUGGUAGUCCGCACGGUAAACGAUGGAUGCCCGCUGUUGGUCUGAGUAGGUCAGCGGCCAAGCGAAAGCAUUAAGCAUCCCACCUGGGGAGUACGCCGGCAACGGUGCAACUC
rnacentral:rRNA from 1 species